rnacentral:rRNA from 1 species
AGUGAACGCUGGCGGUAGGCCUAACACAUGCAAGUCGAACGGCAGCACAGUAAGAGCUUGCUCUUACGGGUGGCGAGUGGCGGACGGGUGAGGAAUACAUCGGAAUCUACUUUUUCGUGGGGGAUAACGUAGGGAAACUUACGCUAAUACCGCAUACGACCUACGGGUGAAAGCAGGGGAUCUUCGGACCUUGUGCGAUUGAAUGAGCCGAUGUCGGAUUAGCUAGUUGGCGGGGUAAAGGCCCACCAAGGCGACGAUCCGUAGCUGGUCUGAGAGGAUGGUCAGCCACACUGGAACUGAGACACGGUCCAGACUCCUGCGGGAGGCAGCAGUGGGGAAUAUUGGGCAAUGGGCGCGAGCCUGAUCCAGCCAUACCGCGUGAGUGAAGAAGGCCUUCGGGUUGUAAAGCCCUUUUGUUGGGAGAGAAAAGCAGCAGGUUAAUACCCCGCUGUUCUGACGGUACCCAAAGAAUAAGCACCGGCUAACUUCGUG